GACGAACGCUGGCGGCGUGCUUAACACAUGCAAGUCGAACGGAAAGGCCCUGCUUUUGUGGGGUGCUCGAGUGGCGAACGGGUGAGUAACACGUGAGUAACCUGCCCUUGACUUUGGGAUAACUUCAGGAAACUGGGGCUAAUACCGGAUAGGAGCUCCUGCUGCAUGGUGGGGGUUGGAAAGUUUCGGCGGUUGGGGAUGGACUCGCGGCUUAUCAGCUUGUUGGUGGGGUGGUGGCUUACCAAGGCUUUGACGGGUAGCCGGCCUGAGAGGGUGACCGGCCACAUUGGGACUGAGAUACGGCCCAGACGCCUACGGGAGGAGCAGUGGGGAAUAUUGCACAAUGGGCGGAAGCCUGAUGCAGCAACGCCGCGUGCGGGAUGACGGCCUUCGGGUUGUAAACCGCUUUCGCCUGUGACGAAGCGUGAGUGACGGUAAUGGGUAAAGAAGCACCGGCUAACUACGUG
rnacentral:rRNA from 1 species